CGCGGAGUGGAGCAGAUGGUAGCUUGUCGGGCUCAUAACCCGAAGGUCGGAGGUUCGAGUCCUUCCUCCGCAACCA
rnacentral:tRNA from 3 species